rnacentral:tRNA from 1 species
GCAUAGCCCCUUUAAGGCGAUGAACUAGAAAUCCAUUGGGGUCUCCCCGCACAGGUUCGAAUCCUGUCGACUGCG